UUCUAAUCUUAUUGUUUUUGUACAAGCUAGUCUUCCAAUGUCGGUCUAAUUUUACGAAGUUGGGCAGGUUUUGUUUUUGAACCGCGGCGCGUAUGAUAAUUUGCUGUUAAGACCGAAGAGCCGAUCCCUCCGAAAACCGUUGAACUGAAUGCCCGGAUCCCCACGAGGCAUGAGUUGUUCCUUUCUUCCAACGGCUCUCUGCUCUUGGUCGCACUCAGAAUUUCCCGUUAAGGACCCACGAAUCUGUCUCCCAACGGCUCUCUCCUCUCCUCUUCUUGAUUCCCACUUGAAAUUUUGCUCCCUCCUUGUUCCUUUUCCCCAACGGCUAUUUCUCUUCUUCAUAAAUCCUCCCUCGGUCUCUCUUUCCCCAACGGCUCUCUCUUCUUCAUUCCUGCCUCAGGCUCUCUCUCCCCAAUGGCUAUUUCUCUUCUUUGUUCCUCCCUUGGUCUCUCACCCCAACGGCUCUCUCUUCUUCAUUCCUCCCUUUUUCCUUUCCCGACGGCUAUUUCUCUUCUUCAUUCCUCCCUUUGCUCUCCCCAACGUCUCUCUCUUCUUCAUUCCUCCCUUGGGCUCACCCCCUCCCCGCCUCUCCAACGGUUCCUAACCACUGACCAAAUUCCAUGUCCAUAGAGCGUCUCUUUGUUCUCAGCUUCAUCCUCCACUGCCCGAUUACGAUGUGCACCGGGGCGUCCUUCGCAUUCCUCGCCGUCUAACGGGAGGGUGGCUCCCCGGCUGUCUUCGAGUCUCCCAGGUACCCCGCCUGGACCCUCUUUGCCGACGACCCCCACCGCGCGCCGCCGCCGCCGCCGCCGCCGCGCCCAGGAGGACCGCACCUUCUGUGCCCUCAGCAUGCGGAUCCCCUUCCUCGGUACGAUCGCUUCUCACCCGCAAGGGCUCUUGAUCUCUUCCUUCUAUUACCCCUUUUUUUUCUUGGAUUCGAACUGCUGUUAAGGUUUGUACUUCUGCGUGAUAUGGAUGAAAGCCCUAAAAUUUGGACGAAAAGGCAAGGCUGAGAGCUAAAAAGAAUUCUGGAAAUUUAUAGGAAAAGUACGUAAGGAUAUUGGGAAAUUUUGGAAGAAUUUGCUGUUAUGGCUGUUAGUCGCUUUAAGCAAAAAUAUGCUACGCUGAUUAUUUAUGUUGGAUCUUUCGGUAAAUCUCUAUUUUGUUGGUGGUUUCACUUUUCGAAGCUGGCAGCCUUUUAAAAUGAAAUACGAAGAAGUGGCAAGAAAUGGGUCAUAAAUUUGGACUACUGGUUUAAAUAAACUAAGCAGCAAAAAAUUUGAAGAGAGAGGCUCUAUGCUUCUUUGAUAGAAGUGACUAAUAUCAUAUCUUAGGAAAUAUAUUUUGACUAGACCUACUUAUAAUUCUGAAGAAGAUGAUAUGAUAGGAAGUAAAGAUUACCUAUAUUUUCUUGUCUCAGAGUUUCCUUUUCAUUGGUCAGAAAGAACAGGCAUUGUGGAGAUAAAUGUUGACAUGGUAGUAGACUUUGGUGGUCACAAUGGUGCAGAUGCUAGUAACAUGGUUUCCAAACUUUCGUUGGAGUACUCUUUGCUGCAUUUGUUUUUCCUCCUAGAUGGCACAUAGUCCAUGGUCCUAAGCAAUUCAAAUGAGGAGUUGACAUAUGGAGAACUAAAGUCGUCUGAAUCGGUACAAGAGAUAUAGAUACCUUAGGAGAUUUUAGAUGUUGAUAUAUAUUUAAAUUAACUUUCUAUUCCAUAUUUUAUUGAUUUUCUUUAUAAAUGUAAUAAUUUGUGUACUUUAAUUAUAUUUAUCAUUGAAAUUAUAGUCAUUUUAUAAACAAUAAAAUGCAAAAGAUGAAACAAUGCAUUAAAGAACAUCAAAACAACUCAGAAACAACAAAUCAUCAUUAAAUAUCAAAAAAGUUCAUAAAAUAUCAUUACGUGCCAAAACAAUGAAAAAAAUAAAAAAAUGGUGUGCUGCUUUAGAAUCGGCAUGCUAGGGCAUAUCGACACUCAGUAUAGUAUUGAUACUGCAUUAACAGGUAUAGGGCACAAUAUCGAUUUAGCUUACCUUGCCUCUAACUGAUCUACUGGAUAUGAGUGUGGAAUAUUAUGUUUUUCCCAUUGCUCCAGAGCCACCCUAUUCUGGACUACAAAGUUGGCUGGUCAUGGAGAUGAUCUCUUAUAGCUGUUAGCCCUUAAGCCAACCAAUUUUGAUCUAACAUUGUCUUGGACUAAGCCAUUGUAAAGCAGAUCAUUAUACUUAAGCUCUACUUCUUGACGUAUUUAAGCUUUAACCUUAGAUUAGUACAUGUAAGAAAGAUCAUUGAGGCAUUUCUAUAUAAGAUAGUUCCUCUAUUUGCUGUGAAUUAGGAUGAAUGUAGAUCAGUUGUGCUCAUAACCACUAGAGGAUACCAUCUGUGAGGAGAUUUGAAUAGCAAACUACCUAAGGUUUCAAGCCGAACCCUCAAAAUGAAUCCACCACUUAGUUAUAAAAGUAUUGAAUAAAAUUAUAUAUAAGAUGAUGGUAAAUGGUAAUUAUAAAAUAUCAACAAGCUAUUGUUCAUAUACUUGGAUUUGUAUUGAUAUUGCCCUUGUUGAACAUAGCUGGUAGGUCAUCAAAGCUAUGGGAGCCCUCCCUAAUUAAUUUUAUCUUUGUAGAAGAGACAUGGCAUAUGAUGUUAUAAAUAUGUUGAAUAAAUUGUUAAUGAUUGAAGUAUAUCCACCUAAGUUAACUUAUCUUUUGAGUGACUCGCUUCUUUGCUACUUUGAAAUUACUGAAAUACUUUUUUUUAUCAAUUACUGGACCUUCUAGGGAUACGUCUAGCAUAUCAAUACAUUAAGAUAAUUAUGAGUAAGAUACUGCUUCAAUCUGAUUAUCUUGUCUUUUUUGUACUCGAUGACACAUUACCUAUACCUUUAUUGGUGCCGACCAAAGAGUGUGACACCAUGAUCCUAGCUAAUGUUACACUCCAACUCCUUGCUGGAUGAAUCCAUUUUUACAAGUGAAUUGAAAACAUGUAAAAUAUUGUUAUAUUAAUUGAUAUUUAUUAAUUAGUGAAAUUAUGCUAUGAUUAAAAACUCAGCAAAUUAGUCUAGAAAAAUACUUUUGUAUUAACUAUGUAUAGUACUAAAUUUUUCUAAUUUUUCACAAGUAAAUAAUUUUAAUUAUUUCUCAUAGUAAUUCAAUAUUUAAUUAGAAAACAUCUAGAAAUUUUAUUUUUAUAGCCAAUUAUUGAUCUUAAAAUAAAAAAUAUAGUAAUGAGUAUUGGGAGGAUCCCUCAUGAGUGUGGAAUAUGGAUCUUCGUCCAAGAUUGCAAAUACUGGUGAUGAUGUAGAUAUCUAUCGCAGAAGGAAGGAAGAAGAGAGAAGCACAAAGGACAAAAUCAAAAAUAACAUGGAUCACACUCUCGACGGGGUAUGCAAACUUCACUAUUAGAGAAAAUAAAUACAAGAGGAGAUCACACCCUCUCAACCCUCAUACAUCAAUCUCUUUCUUAAUAAAAAGUAUAAAAAAUUCUCAUAAAGCUCUCAAAACCCUCCAAGAAGACUUUGGCUGCCUCCUAAAAUCUCAGCCCCUUCCUAUUUUCUAUAGCCAUCAGAUCCUUUAAAAAACCCUAAAAUCGACUCCUAUUCGGACUCCAGAAUCCCUCCAAAUGCUUGAUCACUCCCGCACGUGCUUGUGGCCAUCCGAUCAUGCAUAUCAUGCAUAUCCGAUCAUGCAUAUCCAUCCGACCUUGCAAAUGAACUGUGUGAAUACACUUCGCACCCGUGCAUGGGCUCAAUGGGCUGAUCUCUUGGACGCACCUGCAAGACACACCUGCAAGUGCCCAUGGCCAUCCGAUCACGCACAUCCAACGCACAUCCAUGCGUGGAUCAUGCAUAGUGCAGUAGCUGCAGUAGACUGUGCAUCUCAUUUAGGUCGCGCUCUGUGGGCCACGUGCGCUUGUGGGCCUGGCGCACAAAAUAUCAAAAUCUAAUCAAUCUUCACCUCGACUCGACAUUCAACCUUCACAUAACUUAGAGAGCUUCUGAAUGAUCUCGUCUCCAUGCCUUGGGGUAAAUGGCUGGCUGCAAAUACCUCCGUUCAUAGAUGGACAAACAUAGGAGUCGAGCUACUCCAUCUCCAUCAUAUGCUGUGAUCUAUCUGAUCUGAGAUCUGCUCGGGAUAGUCUCUUUCGACGAUAGAAACUUCACCCUACGACGUUGCUUGUCAUCCGCCUGAAUCUUCUGUCUCAUGUCCAAUCCACCUAUAUCUGGAGCUCCAGCUCGUGCUGAGCUCCCUCUCAAGAGAUAGUGUCCUCCACAUUUAGGACUCCAUCAUCAACUCUCCAUCUAUUGAAUCCAAUUUGCUCAGUGAAAUCAGAUUACUUCUAAAACUGGAUAUGUAUUGAACCUCAUCCAAUUUUUUUCAUUCCAUCAUGUGUUGUACGCUAAUUGUCCUAAUAUCUUUGAUCAUAUAGCUCGAUCUAUCCGGCAAAUGAGCAACGCUCACCGCUCUUUAGGGAGUCAAACUGCUUCUUUCUACAAUAAACAUAAUGCAAACAUGCUAAAUCUAAAAUCCAUUAAGGGGAGACCAUAAGCAUAUCAUCAGUCUCAUUAGUAUUGCUAUCAUGGAUCACUGUCGCUGUAGUAGCCUUCGUCUGAUCUUUGAGCUAUGAACAACCUCUGUUUCCCAACUCAUCACACCGAUAGUAUGUAAUCAUGCUGAAGUCCUUCGACUUGGAUUUGGACUGCCCAUCUUGUGAUCUUUUGUCGCUUCAUCCUCUGCUACUACCACCUCCAGUCAUCGUCAAAGCUGUGAAUUUGAAAUUCGAUUCUUCCAUCUGAAAAUUUUAUUUUGAAAAAGUACAGAAGUGACCCCAUCUAUCUUGAUGGUAUUCAAGAUGCUCAUGAGAUGCUCAUGCAUGCAUGCAUGCUUUAUCUCUUACUUAUCCUACAUGCUCUGCCCCUCCACUUGCACUUGGCAUUGGUAAGUGACUUCGCCAUGUACAUGAGUUUCAUCCAUAUUGCUGUCGGUCUCGCUAAACACAUGGAUCACCAUACAUUAUCCAUCAAGUACAAGUGGAUCAUAUUCAUCAUCUGCAUGUGAAGCCGCUUCCAACUCUUCUCCUCUAUGGUAGUCAGCUUCUUCUUAUAUAAGAGAGCAUUAAUAAUCAACCCUUACUAGAUGAGCAUAUCCUUCACCCUCGCUUGCCAUAGGGAGAAAUUACUCUUUCCAUCAUACUGGUUGAGCUCUACCGAUUGAUCUCUAUCUUGAUUAAGCUUGUCUUCAUCUUUUUUAAUUUUGAUCAAUAUCGUCACAAUCUGGACAAUGCCAUGCUCUGAUACCACUUGUUGUGGAAGGAUCGCAAACAUAAGUCAUAUUCCUCGUGAGUGCGGAAUUUACCACAGGAUCGCAAACACUGGUAUUAUACCACAGGAGGAAGAAAAAAUAGAGAAGCACAAGACUUACCUCCAUAAGGCAUGCAAACUUCACUAUGGGAGAAAAUAAAUACAAGAGGAGAUUACAUCAUUUCAACCUUCAUACAUCAAUCUCUCUCUCAACAAGAAGUACAAAAAAUCCUCAUAAAGCUCUUAAAACCCUCCAAGGAGACUAUUUAGCUUAGCCGCCUCCUAAAAUUCUUAGCCCCUCUUGUGCUCCAUAGCCAUCAGGCCCUUUAAAAAAUCCUAAAACUGACCCUUGUUCAGAUUUCAGAACCCCUUAGAAUGCUUGAUCACUCCCGCAUGUGCCUGUAGCCAUCCGAUCACGCCCGCACGCCCCCGUGGUGACCCAAUUGCGUACACCCACAUGUGGACCAUGACUCCCGCCCUCCUGGACCACCCUCCUGGACCAUGCGGUAGUUUGGGCUGUGCGUGCGGCCACGCCUACAGGCUUCUCCAUCUUAGACUUCGCUGUGGGUCGAAUUUGAGAUGCCAAAAUGCCAAAAUGCUAAAACCCGACAAUGAGGAGAGAGAACACCACAUUACCCAAUUUUAGCAAAAAAUUGUAAAAAAAUGGCUAGAUCUAGCCAAUUUCCCUUUAGGAUUUUGGAGGGGUUGGAAGGGAACCCAUCCAAUUAUUGAAAAGAUCAUGUGGGGGAGGGAUGGUACAUAUGAACCUAACUACCACACGAAUCACCCGAUUGAGUGUAGUUCAAGCUAUUUUUUGAGCUAUGGUUCCCCUUCAGUGCAAUAUGGUAUGGGCCGAAUCAUCCAUUUUGGUAUCAAGCAUAGAUACUGCACUGAUACCAUACCAUACUAGUGGCCAACUAGUACAAGUCCUAGUUAUAGUGAACAUCGGUCCUAGACCUUGUCUAAAGUAUCAUAAUGUGUUUGGAGAUUUCUGAUGCUUCACUUACUCUAUCUACAUUAUUGUCAACCACGUGUGUCAUUUGUGCAUCUCAUCCCUAUCCACACCACCUAACUCACCACCAAAUAUAUCCUUUGGACAAGGAGAGGAGAGUGAUCACUGGUUUUUUUGGAUGGUGUUGACCAUGUUGCAAGGAUAGGUGCAGGAGGCAACAUUUUCAAGGAUGUGCCAAUGGUAGAAUUAUUCGCUGAUUGCUCUCGCAUGCCUCUAUUUUUAUUUUUUUGCAGCAUCGAAUUUAUGCCCGACUGCUUUGAGUCCUUGCUAGGGUAGGCAUGGGGAUCCAGGCUACGAAUUGCUGCCCGUAUUGCUAGUACAUCACUUCCCUUCUUUCCCUUCUUGCCACCUUUAUUAAUUGGGUUAAUUGGGUCUCUCAUUGAUUGGCUCUUGUUGCUUGAAUCUGCUUGACGGCCCCAGAACUACAACCCCGAUUAAGUUGUUCUUCAUGCCCAGGCCUAGCAGCCCUCUCCUCUUUCCCACUGAUCAUCCAAACUAUCCCUUCUAAAAACUUGAAUCCAAGCCUCCAUGUCAUCUAGGUUCCACAUCUCAUGGUCACUUGGAUGAUGGUGAUCUGGCUUCCUCAGGAUCAAUAUUGCAUUCUUCCUGUUGAUCUUUUUAUAAUUUAGUAACCACACAUCAUAAAGCACAUUGAUUGACUACAAAUUAUGUAAAAGGGAUUCGAUUUUUAGUAAAAAUUUAAUCAGUUACCCUAUUUUUAGACAAAUGAGUGAUUUUCAUAAUUUUAUUUCACUAAAUAAGAUGAUAAUUUAUAAAUAAUAUCAUAACUAUGUAUGUUAUCCCCACAUUUUAAUGUUUUUUGUUGAGUUAAUAACUUUUAAUUAUAAAUCACUUUAUUGAAUAGUAAUGCAAACAAAUAUAUCCAAUUACUCUAGAAAAC
rnacentral:lncRNA from 1 species